AUGGCAUCAUCUUUCUAUUGGGUUUUGGCUAGUGCACUCAAAUUGAGAACACAGCUUCACAGGCAGAACACAACACACAGAUGCAAGGUCUCCUGAUGGCAGAAAACCUUAUAACCAGAGACGGGGUUACUCCGUGUUAGCCAGGAUGGUCUCGAUCUCCUGACCUCGUGAUCCACCUGCCUUGGCCUCCCAAAGUGCUGGGAUUCUGUAAUCCCAGUGAGCCACCGCGCCUGGCCCAUGUUCCAAAGAUCUUAAAGAUGUCCCAGAAAAGUUCUAGAGUACUAUCAGAUCUCACACUUUGCCUUGGAAGCUGUCAUUCCCCUCCAUUGGCCCCACAACUGCAGUAUAAUCUUCAGUGACAGGAGAAAAUCGACCUUGUUUGUACAGAAGUCUCAGCAGGAAUAGGCAGAUGCCUGUUUUUGCUGCCAAGGAUGGAGGAUUGGAAUGGGCCCAUUAUAUAUUUUGAGGCUUUGAAGAAAAGUCUCAGGAUAUGUUUUCCCAUUAAAAUACUGUUAUAAACAA
ensembl:lncRNA LINC02024 long intergenic non-protein coding RNA 2024